AUCUGUCUUGGAAAUAAGCAUGUCCUGAGACAACAUUGGGUCCCAGAAUGAGAGAUUUGCAGCAGACUGUACCCAGGACUGAUUCGGGUGCUAUAGGUAUUGAUCUUGGUGCUAAGGAUGAAGAAAGAAAUGCAAGAAAAAUUGGCCUUUAGAGAGAUUUCCACCUGCUUAAGAGACAAGCCAUGUUUCCAUGCAAUCACUGGGAAAAUACAUAAGAGAGAAGGAGAGUGACAGUGUGGAGAAGAGAACCUCCCAUAGACUCCCUGCUGAUGAUGGAAGCCCAAAGUCGGGCUCCAUCUCACAACCCUGAGAUCAAGAUCUGAGCUGGAACCAAGAGUCAGAUGCUUGACCAACUGAGCCACCCAAGUGCCCUGAAAUUGUUUUUAGAAAGAAAAAAAAAAGAAUGGAAUGGGUUGUAAACAUCAUCAAACAUAAUCCUGAGGAGAAGCUCUGUGGAUUUGGAAAAUGGGAAAAUCACUGGAGAAAUCAAUGAAUCUUAAGGCAGUGAAGUUAUAAAGGACUCCCAAGGCCUGACUUGAGCUAAAUUGCUAAAUGAGAAGAGUCUGUUUAAAUAAGCCCUGGAAAGGCGGGAUGGGGAUUCCAGGAAGAGAGAUGCUGCCCAUGUGAUAACCUGCUUGGAAAAGCUGUGGUCAUUACCUGCAUGACCACUCUGGUUAUUUAUACUUUAUUAGAACCUCUCCCAUCUUGACUGUAUUCCUUCAAAGGGAGGACCUGCCAGAGAUUUUCUUUAGUGCGAUUUCUUCUCAUCCAUUUUGCUUUUGAAUUUUAAUUGCUUAAAGCAGAAUUUCUCAACCUUGGCACUAUUGACAUUUUGGGUAAGAUAAUUCUUUGUUGUGGGUGGCUUUGCUGUGCAUUGUGGGAUAUUUAGCAUCAUUCUGGGCCUCUACCCACCAGAUGCUGGUAACACCUCCCCGUUGUGACAAAAAAAUUGUCUCCAGACAUUGCCAAGUGUCCCUUGGAGCGUGGGGGGCAAAAUUACCCCUAGUUAAGAACCACUGGCUGAAAGAAAGGCGCAUAUCUGCCUUUCUUCUCUUUUCUUGUGUGUGUGUGUGUGUGUGUGUGUGUGUGUGUGUGCGUGCGUAAGGAACAACUUUCACAAACUUUAUAAUUUUUUUAACAACUCUUCUAUCUUGCUGUGAAGUCUAGCUAGUAGACCACAAUGAUGCCAUUGUGUGUAAGUUUAACAAGCAGCUGCUCACUUGCCGCUUUGCUAACAAUUCUGAAGUUUGAAGGGGUAGGGGGACUGGUGCCUGGGGAGCACAUUUUUAAAAAUUUUACUUUUGAAAUAAUUUUAUGUUCCUGUAUAUCUGCCUCCCAACUUCCUCUAAUGUUGACAUCUUACAUAGCUGUGAUACAUUUAUCAAGACUAAGAUCUUAGCAACAAUUGAUGCAAUAUUAUUAUCUAAACUACAGACUUUAUUUGGAUUUGUUCAGUUUUCCUACAAACCUUUUUCUUUUCCAGGGUCCAACACAGAUUGCUUGUGGCAUUUAGAAAGAGCAUAGCUCUUUUUUUAAUGGAAAGAAUAUCACAUAUUCCUAGAAAAUUGCCGAUUCUCAGAUGAUGACAGAGAGCAGAAUUUUCUAAGCAAAGACCUCUCUGCAUUAGCAUCCACUGAACUAAAAUAUUCCUUUAUUUCUGCUUAAAGUAGAAAGUGGAAUCAACACUUGCCAAGGCAAAAACAGCUAUGACAGUUCAUAUUUUCUAAAUUUCGAAAAAAAAAGUAGCCUAAAGAUGGCUUUUGUCUUGACUCUCGGUCUACACCACCCUCAUUUCAUCUUUUUUUUCUAAAUGACAAAUGCUAAUGGAGUGAACCAAAAGUAUAGUCCCAAAUUGCUGUUUCAUAUUUAGGGCACACUGAAUGGUUCUUUUCCAAUUCUUCCUGACAAAUACGACACGAACACAAAGUGACAUGGAAAAGCUGUAAUCUAUUGAGCCUGGUAAGUGUGAGUUGUAAGUAAUUGCGUUUCCUUCUUAGUCCCAUUUGCUGCUCAACCAUUUCUCAUUAUAUGAUCCCUUCAAGUCAACCUGAUUCAGGAGCAGAUCAAUACUAGGGAAACCCUUUUGUCUUCUUUUAGGGCAUAAAAUUUAAAAGAUGUUUAAGUCAAUAUUCCUUUUAAUAAUGUGUCUUACGGAAAUGCCCGGGUUCCCUCUUCUUGUUAUAUAAUUAAUUGAGCUGCCUGCCACCCACAAGGUAUAGUCAUUCCCUCCCAUAAUUCUCCGUUGGCCUAAUUGCCAUUCUGUUUUCAGUUCUAUUUGUCUUUAGAUAUUUCUUUUCUCCCCAGUAGUGUUGGGCAUGCUUUGUACUUAGUUUUAUCUUUCUGUGCUUUUGCUUCUAAAUGUCAGCAUAAUUUUUCUGCCUUAUAAUAUUGGAGAUGUCAUAACCAUCCAUCAGCCCAAUAGAAGAGCAGAAAAGAUUAGAUAUCAUUUAUCUGUAUUGGUUGUUCAUUGUAAUGACCCAGUGGACAACAUGAACAGAUAAUCUGUUGCUUUGAUGAAAACUAAUUAUUCUUAAGCAUGACAGCAUCGAAAUAGCUUUUGUGGCAUUGUUUUUAAAAAUGACGGCUACCUAGUCAUUAUUAGUGUAAGCAGACGUUCACUGCUGGUGUCUGAUGAUUUCCUUACUUAAGCAACACAACAGUUUGGAUCUUUUAUUACCGCUUUAUGGGAAAAAUUGAACUAAAAUGUAAGAAAUUUAAAAUUUCAACUGACAUUCAAAUAUAAGGACUAUCCAAUAAUAUUUCUUAUUGUGAAAUAAUUUAUUGUUUCCUCAAGAAAAGUAAAAGUACAAUUAGCAGAUAAUUUUUCCAGGAGAGGUUAAUAUAGCUUGAUUUAUUUUUUUUAUAGCUUGAUUUUUAUUUUGUUGCUGGUGAUGGAACAAAUCAUGGGGUUUGGAAGAUAGAGUUAGAAUUCAUUUCUGAUGGAAUUUCUUAAGUGAAAAGCAUGGUUCUGUGAUUAAUUCUUAAAAUAAUAUAAUUUAUCUGCACAGAUAGGAAGUUUUAUUUUCUGUGUAUUUAUGUGUAAACUGAAAAACCACAGUAUAUUGGCAUAUUGCUGUGUUUAUAUAUUGUUCCUUAAAAUGCUUUUGAAACAUAAUCAAUACUCUAUGACAGUAUUUGUAUUACCAGUACCACUAAUAUCCAAAUCGAGAUUUGUAUAUUAUUACAGGCCUGUAGUGGAGAAAUGCACUUUUACUACAGUGUGCCAUGGUUUGAGAACAGAAGCAAAUCGAGUAAAUGUUUCCCUUUGUUGUAAAAGCUUUAAGCCUUGGGGAUGAUGACAUAAACCAUGGCCAAUGUAUUGAAAUGUAUCAAAUAAGUUUAUAAUUACACAAGUAACACUGAUUGUAAAAAUUUAUUGCUGUAAAAGCAUAUGAACAACGAUAAAGUAGGUGGAAUAGAAAUAAAAGCAUCCUUUUACCUUC